rnacentral:rRNA from 1 species
UAGGGAAUCUUCGGCAAUGGACGGAAGUCUGACCGAGCAACGCCGCGUGAGUGAAGAAGGUUUUCGGAUCGUAAAGCUCUGUUGUAAGAGAAGAACGAGUGUGAGAGUGGAAAGUUCACACUGUGACGGUAUCUUACCAGAAAGGGACGGCUAACUACGUGCCAGCAGCCGCGGUAAUACGUAGGUCCCGAGCGUUGUCCGGAUUUAUUGGGCGUAAAGCGAGCGCAGGCGGUUAGAUAAGUCUGAAGUUAAAGGCUGUGGCUUAACCAUAGUAGGCUUUGGAAACUGUUUAACUUGAGUGCAAGAGGGGAGAGUGGAAUUCCAUGUGUAGCGGUGAAAUGCGUAGAUAUAUGGAGGAACACCGGUGGCGAAAGCGGCUCUCUGGCUUGUAACUGACGCUGAGGCUCGAAAGCGUGGGGAGCAAACAGGAUUAGAUACCCUGGUAGUCCACGCUGUAAACGAUGAGUGCUAAGUGUUAGACCCUUUCCGGGGUUUAGUGCCGUAGCUAACGCAUUAAGCACUCCGCCUGGGGAGUACGACCGCAAGGUUG